rnacentral:rRNA from 1 species
GACGAACGCUGGCGGCGUGCUUAACACAUGCAAGUCGAACGGAAAGGCCCUGCUUUUGUGGGGUGCUCGAGUGGCGAACGGGUGAGUAACACGUGAGUAACCUUCCCUUGACUUUGGGAUAACUUCAGGAAACUGGGGCUAAUACCGGAUAGGAGCUCCUGCUGCAUGGUGGGGGUUGGAAAGUUUCGGCGGUUGGGGAUGGACUCGCGGCUUAUCAGCUUGUUGGUGGGGUAGUGGCUUACCAAGGCUUUGACGGGUAGCCGGCCUGAGAGGGUGAACGGCGACAUGGGGACUGAGAUACGGCCCAGACUCCUACGGGAGGCAGCAGGGGGGAAUAUUGCACAAUGGGCGGAAGCCUGAUGCAGCAACGCCGCGUGCGGGAUGAAGGCCUUCGGGUUGUAAACCGCUUUCGCCUGUGACGAAGCGUGAGUGACGGUAAUGGGUAAAGAAGCACCGGCUAACUACGUG